rnacentral:rRNA from 1 species
AUUGAACGCUGGCGGCAGGCCUAACACAUGCAAGUCGAGCGCGCGGCGGCCGGGUGAGUACUGUCUGUGCACCUGCCUGAUGGAGGGGUAUAACUACUGGAAACGGUUGCUACUACCGCCUACCACGAGAUGUGCCCAGAUGGGUUUAGCUAGUCGGUGGGGUAAAGGCUCACCUAGGCGACGAUCCCUAUCUGGUCUGAGAGGAUGACCAGCAACACUGGAGCUGAGACACGGGCCAGAAUCCUACGGGAGGCAGCAGUGGGGAAUAUUGCACAAUGGGCGCAAGCCGGAUGCAGCCAUGCCGCGUGUGGGAAGAAGGCCUUCGGGUUGUAAAGCACUUUCAGCGAGGAGGCGUUACUCGCAGAAGAAGCACCGGCUAACUCCGUGCCAGCAGCCGGGGUAAUAC